AUUAAAUACAAAAUUAUUCAGACUUUAACUUUCAAGGUUAAAUGUGCCUUUAAAACAAAACACUUAUAUGAUAAAUCUGAGUUGCCCUGCCAUGCGCGCUUGGUAAUAUUGCGAAUUCUUAUGCUUUAAAUCGGUCCAAAAACAACCCAAAACGAAUAUUACUUUAAUUAACUUAAAAUCCGAAAGAUAACCUAAUAUACUUUUAAUAUCUUAGAAUUUUAAAUAUUUACGAUAAGGUUUGUUAAAUAAUAAAGAAACAGUGUUAAUGAGCUAAAUAUGAAGUAGAGCGAGUCUACGAGAAGCCCGCUAUUUUAUCUACCGAUACAAACAAUACACGGAGACUGUCUUAGAUGUUAUCCGAUCUAAUACAACGAUGUCGGAGAUAGGCACGGGUUGUGGACAUGCGGGUGUCUCUUAUCUGAUAAGACAUACCCUGUAUUCUUGGUUUCCGUGAUUCGAAGUUUAAUAUUCGCAAAGGAUCGAAUUCAAAUGAGUUAAAAUUACAAUUAAGGUUUUGUUUUUGAGAAAAUUCUUUUCGAAGUCGGUGUAACGGUGAUUUUAUAAGUUGAUAAGAUUUUUAUCGAAAAGUAGACUAUACAUAUAUUUUUAUCUAACGCGUGUUUGUGGCCUGUAACUUUCUGUUAAGUCUGUGUAAUUGUAAUUUGGCAUUAAUAUGUAUUUUCUUUCGUAAGGGAAAAUAUAAACGAUUUUGAUUGUAUAGUACUAUGGAGUAAAACACGAGUUUCGUUGGCACAUAAUGUAUAGAUUGAACCAUGAACCAGUAUGUUACCUUAACCUACUGUAACAACGCAAUGUUUAUAUGUUUAUAGUAGUUAAAACAUCGGCGAGCGUGCACAUCCUUUUAAGGGACGACAGGGGUUAGGGAGUUACAGUAUAUCAUUCGAUGAAGCUGGCUUGGAAAUUUUCCAGUACUAGUGAUUUUGACUGAGUGGCUUCUAACUUAAAAUACGUUUUUUUUCUCAAGAUUUUUCGUCAAUGUUGUAAAGUAAAAGCUUUUAACGAAUUAAAGCCAAAGACUUCGCCUUGACUACGUCAUUGUGUUUUAUACUUCAGAGUAAUUAAAAUAACUUUUAAGCACAGGUCGGAGAAACUUGCCACACAAAACGAACUUCUAUUAACGCAAUUUUGUGUACACUCUCAACACUUAACGAGCGCUCGAAGUUUUCUGUUCUGAUUAACAUUCUCAAAGCAUGAAGCGAUCGAAAGGGGCGAAGUUUUAAAACGAAGUUAGAGUCCAAAAACCCGCAAAAUACCGGAGUUCUCGGAACGUCUUGGGCGUUUGUUACGUCACACUUACCGGAUAUCCGUUCGCGAAAUUUGCUUCGUUGGUGAGACGGGCUUUGAACACAGGGCCAAAUAAACCGUGACCGAUGUUUGUUUCGAAACGAAUGGAAGAAGAUUGGACUUGGUGAACUUUAAUCUGUGGGUGGGAACACGAGGAACUGGUAAAGCCUUGGUUUCAACACAUGGCAGACGGCACGGUGUAAUGAAAGUGAAUGGGGGUCGUGAUGGAAAUUAAAACAUCAGAGAAAAGGGACGAAAAUGGAGACCAAAGCUUAUGAUGAGAGAAAGCGGGUCGUUAUAAAACAAAAUAUGGCUAUUCUAUGUGGGUGAGGUCCUACGACAAAACACACUCGUGUCAAAGUUGUCGCUUUUUUCAAACUUGAGCCGCAAGUUUACU